rnacentral:sRNA from 1 species
GCAUGCUAUAAUUUUACUAUACUCUCAUCUAAACCUAAAAUCAGUCUUCAAAAUAAAAACAGAUUGUCCUUUGCCAAAAAUUUUUUUAAUUGCACAAUUAAUUGACAUUAACUGCCAAUUCUUUUUGGCUAAUUGACUAAUUUUAACUUCUGUGUUGCUCUUCCAGAGGCAUGGCUAUUGCACCUUGGGAGAAGCCUUUAAUCGGUUAGACUUCUCAAGUGCAAUUCAAGAUAUCCGAAGGUUCAAUUAUGUGGUCAAACUGUUGCAGCUAAUUGCAAAAUCCCAGUUAACUUCAUUGAGUGGUGUGGCACAAAAGAAUUACUUCAACAUUUUGGAUAAAAUCGUUCAAAAGGUUCUUGAUGACCACCACAAUCCUCGCUUAAUCAAAGAUCUUCUGCAAGACCUAAGCUCUACCCUCUGCAUUCUUAUUAGAGGAGUAGGGAAGUCUGUAUUAGUGGGAAACAU